AGCGAACGCUGGCGGCAGGCCUAACACAUGCAAGUCGAACGCUCUCUUCGGAGGGAGUGGCAGACGGGUGAGUAACGCGUGGGAACCUACCCUAUGGUACGGGAUAACUCGAGGAAACUCGUGCUAAUACCGUAUAAGCCCCUUGGGGGAAAGAUUUAUCGCCAUUGGAUGGGCCCGCGUUGGAUUAGCUAGUUGGUGAGGUAAAAGCUCACCAAGGCGACGAUCCAUAGCUGGUCUGAGAGGAUGAUCAGCCACACUGGGACUGAGACACGGCCCAGACUCCUACGGGAGGCAGCAGUGGGGAAUAUUGGACAAUGGGCGCAAGCCUGAUCCAGCCAUGCCGCGUGAGUGACAAAGGCCUUAGGGUUGUAAAGCUCUUUUGGCGGGACGAUAAUGACGGUACCCGCAGAAUAAGCCCCCGGCUAAUUCGU
rnacentral:rRNA from 1 species